AUACGGAGGGUGCAAGCGUUAAUCGGAAUUACUGGGCGUAAAGCGUACGUAGGCGGUUUAUUAAGUCAGAUGUGAAAGCCCCGGGCUUAACCGGGGAACUGCAUUUGAAACUAGUAGACUAGAGUAUGGCAGAGGGGGGUAGAAUUCCUAGUGUAGCGGUGAAAUGCGUAGAUAUUAGAAGGAAUACCAGUGGCGAAGGCGGCCCCCUGGACCAAUACUGACGCUGAGGUACGAAAGCGUGGGGAGCGAACAGGAUUAGAAACCCUUGUAGUCC
rnacentral:rRNA from 1 species